rnacentral:rRNA from 1 species
UUAGCAUAUCAAUAAGCGGAGGAAAAGAAACCAACAGGGAUUGCCCCAGUAACGGCGAGUGAAGCGGCAACAGCUCAAAUUUGAAAUCUGGCCCCAGGCCCGAGUUGUAAUUUGCAGAGGAUGCUUUUGGCGCGGUGCCUUCCGAGUUCCCUGGAACGGGACGCCAUAGAGGGUGAGAGCCCCGUACGGUUGGACACCAAGCCUUUGUAAAGCUCCUUCGACGAGUCGAGUAGUUUGGGAAUGCUGCUCUAAAUGGGAGGUACAUUUCUUCUAAAGCUAAAUAUUGGCCAGAGACCGAUAGCGCACAAGUAGAGUGAUCGAAAGAUGAAAAGCACUUUGAAAAGAGGGUUAAACAGCACGUGAAAUUGUUAAAAGGGAAGCGCUUGUGACCAGACUUGCGUCCGGUGAAUCACCCAGCUCUCGCGGCUGGGGCACUUCGCCGGCACAGGCCAGCAUCAGCUUGCCGUCGGGGACAAAAGCUUCAGGAACGUAGCUCCUCUCGGGGAGUGUUAUAGCCUGUUGUAUAAUACCCUUCGGCGGGCUGAGGUACGCGCUCCGCAAGGAUGCUGGCGUAAUGGUCAUCAGCGACCCGUCUUGAAACACGGACCAAGGAGUCAACCUUAUGUGCGAGUGUUUGGGUGUUAAACCCCUACGCGUAAUGAAAGUGAACGCAGGUGAGAGCUUCGGCGCAUCAUCGACCGAUCCUGAUGUUCUCGGAUGGAUUUGAGUAAGAGCAUAUAGGGUUGGACCCGAAAGAAGGUGAACUAUGCGUGUGUAGGGUGAAGCCAGAGGAAACUCUGGUGGAGGCUCGCAGCGGUUCUGACGUGCAAAUCGAUCGUCAAACAUGCGCAUGGGGGCGAAAGACUAAUCGAACCUUCUAGUAGCUGGUUUCCGCCGAA